AUGCUUUUAGUGACAUUUUUGUUGUAAUAUGUUUCUUUAAUUCUGUUUUAAUCAUAUUUUCGCAACAUAGGAUUGCUACUUACUUCUUUUUUAUUAUUACUCUUUUUAUCUGUAACAUCAGGAAUGCAUUCUUUGAUAUUUAUUUUUUAAGUUUAGGAUUUUGUGGAAAAAUUGGAAGCAAAACAGGAAUCAGGUAUUUUGUGAGCUCAUUUACCAUGUGCCAUAAAAUAAAAUGACUGGUUUUACAUGGAAUAAUGGAAUAGGACCCCGGUUCUAUUUUGUUGGUUUUAGAGCGCAAGGUAAUGAUUAAGAGGGACAGACGGGGGCAUUCGUACUGUGCCGUUAGCGAUGAAAUUCUUGGUUCGUCACAAGACGAACGACUGCAAAAGCAUUUGCCAAGAAUGUUUUCUUUAAUCAAUAGCGAAAGUCAGAGGUUCGAAGACUGGUUACUACUUUUCAUCAGU
rnacentral:ncRNA from 1 species